rnacentral:lncRNA from 1 species
CAAAAUCCAGUUGAGGAGCUCCCUGUAUACCUUCUGAAUGCAGCUGUGUUGGCAUGGAGGUUGAGAUUAGGUUUGGGGCAUCAUUGCACACUAUGGAAAGUGAACUUCAUAGAAUGCUGGAAAAGGACCAGCAUGAUACCAGCAAGCUUCUUCUAGGGCCGUGUGUUAUCAUGGAACCUGGAUCAGAAAGAACUGUAUGCAAGAAACACACUGUGCGCCUUGUGCCUGGAUGUUCCGUUGAACGUGGACUGAUUCUGUGUUUGACUUUUUGUUUCAUACUUGAUCUCGUAUCCGCAUGCGUUUGGAUAAACUUUAGGGUUGUUGCAAACCAUCCUACUAAAGAACAACACAUUUGAGCAAUGCUUUAUGACACAUCGGCUGAAAGCUUUGCUGAAGCAGCUGAAUAGCUGUCUCACGAGGACAAGCCACAAGGCUGACCGGGCUGAUAACUGAAUAUGCAGGUUUCGUGUUCAUUCCAAGUGUGCUGAUGUUCAUCGUACUGACUUGUGUACUAUAGUUUACUCAUGAGUUUCUAGUCUGGCCUUGCAUUGCCUGUAUGUGCUGUACUUGUCUCCAUCUCACCAUGCUGCAAAAGGUUUUCUGCAAAAUAAAGGAGUCAAA